rnacentral:sRNA from 1 species
GCUAUGGAGGGGAACAGGGAUGAGGCUGAGAAAUGUGUCGAGAUCGCCCGGGAGGCCCUGAACGCCGGCAACCGCGAGAAGGCCCAGCGCUUCCUGCAGAAGGCCGAGAAGCUCUACCCACUGCCCUCGGCCCGCGCACUAUUGGAAAUAAUUAUGAAAAAUGGAAGCACGGCUGGAAAUAGCCCUCAUUGCCGAAAACCAUCAGGUAGUGGCGAUCAAAGCAAGCCUAAUUGCACAAAGGACAGCACAUCUGGUAGUGGUGAAGGUGGAAAAGGCUAUACCAAAGACCAAGUAGAUGGAGUUCUCAGAGCUUUAUGGAUAUUGGAACAUUGAUAUGGGAUGGUGGACCUGUACCUAACACACAAGAGUGAUACAGAUAAAUUAUCUUUGGCAUAACGGGGAUGGCCGGGUGCAGUGGUUUAUGCCUAUAAUCCCAGCACUUUGGAAGGCUGAGAUGGGAGGAUCAUUUGAGGCCAGAAUUUCAAGACUAGCCUCAGCCCCAACAUAACAAGACCCCAUCUAUAUCAAAAAUAAAUAAAUAUUGACAUUUAAACCAUAGAA